rnacentral:rRNA from 1 species
AGCGAACGCUGGCGGCAGGCCUAACACAUGCAGGUCGAACGAACUCUUCGGAGUUAGUGGCGGACGGGUGAGUAACACGUGGGAACGUGCCUUUUGGUUCGGAAUAACUCAGGGAAACUUGUGCUAAUACCGAAUGUGCCCUUCGGGGGAAAGAUUUAUCGCCAUUAGAGCGGCCCGCGUCUGAUUAGCUAGUUGGUGAGGUAACGGCUCACCAAGGCGACGAUCAGUAGCUGGUCUGAGAGGAUGACCAGCCACACUGGGACUGAGACACGGCCCAGACUCCUACGGGAAGCAGCAGUGGGGAAUCUUGCGCAAUGGGCGAAAGCCUGACGCAGCCAUGCCGCGUGAAUGAUGAAGGUCUUAGGAUUGUAAAAUUCUUUCACCGGGGACGAUAAUGACGGUACCCGGAGAAGAAGCCCCGGCUAACUUCGUG